rnacentral:rRNA from 1 species
AGUGAGGAAUAUUGGUCAAUGGGCGAGAGCCUGAACCAGCCAAGUCGCGUGAAGGAUGAAGGUCUUAUGGAUUGUAAACUUCUUUUAUAAGGGAAUAAAAAAGAUCACGUGUGGUUUAUUGCAUGUAUCUUAUGAAUAAGCAUCGGCUAACUCCGUGCCAGCAGCCGCGGUAAUACGGAGGAUGCGAGCGUUAUCCGGAUUUAUUGGGUUUAAAGGGUGCGUAGGCGGUUUAUUAAGUCAGUGGUGAAAGUUUUCGGCUCAACCGGAAAAUUGCCAUUGAAACUGAUAGACUUGAGUGUAAACGAGGUAGGCGGAAUUCGUGGUGUAGCGGUGAAAUGCUUAGAUAUCACGAAGAACUCCAAUUGCGAAGGCAGCUUACUAGGCUACAACUGACGCUGAAGCACGAAAGCGUGGGGAUCAAA